AGUGAACGCUGGCGGUAGGCCUAACACAUGCAAGUCGAACGGCAGCACAGUAAGAGCUUGCUCUUACGGGUGGCGAGUGGCGGACGGGUGAGGAAUACAUCGGAAUCUACUUUUUCGUGGGGGAUAACGUAGGGAAACUUACGCUAAUACCGCAUACGACCUACGGGUGAAAGCAGGGGAUCUUCGGACCUUGCGCGAUUGAAUGAGCCGAUGUCGGAUUAGCUAGUUGGCGGGGUAAAGGCCCACCAAGGCGACGAUCCGUAGCUGGUCUGAGAGGAUGAUCAGCCACACUGGAACGGAGACACGGUCCAGACGCCUACGGGAGGCAGCAGUGGGGAAUAUUGGACAAUGGGCGCAAGCCUGAUCCAGCCAUACCGCGUGGGUGAAGAAGGCCUUCGGGUUGUAAAGCCCUUUUGUUGGGAAAGAAAAGCAGCAGGUUAAUACCCCGCUGUUCUGACGGUACCCAAAGAAUAAGCACCGGCUAACUUCGUG
rnacentral:rRNA from 1 species